rnacentral:rRNA from 1 species
GCAAGUCGUACGAGAAUCCGCCUUCGGGCGGAGGACAGUGGCGAAAGGGCGAGUAAUGCGUUUCUAACGUGCCCAGAGGUCAGGGAUAGCCCAGGGAAACUUGGCGUAAUACCCCAUGUGCUCUACGGAGGAAAGCUCGGUCGCCUUGGGAGCGGGGAAAGCCCUAUCAGGUUGUUGGUGAGGUAACGGCUCACCAAGCCUUAGACGGGUAGCGGGUGUGAGAGCACGGCCCGCCGCAUCGGGACUGAGACACUGCCCGGACUCCUACGGGAGGCUGCAGCGACGAAUAUUCCGCAAUGCGCGAAAGCGUGACGGAGCAAUGCCGCGUGCAGGAUGAAGCGGUUACGCCGUGUAAACUGCUGUCAGGGGUUAGAAAUACUGAUCAACCCCAAAGGAAGGGCCGGCUAACCUCGUGCCAGCAGCCGCGGUAAGACGAGGGGCCCGAGCGUUAAUCAGAAUCACUGGGCUUAAAGGGUGCGCAGGCGGACAUGCAAGCAUUCUGUGAAAUCCCUCGGCUCAACCGAGGAACUGCAGGGUGAACUGCAUGUCUUGAGGCAGGGAGAGGUCGUCGGAACGCUAGGUGGAGCGGUGAAAUGCGUAGAGAUCUAGCGGAACGCCAAAGGUGAAGACAGGCGGCUGGGCCUAGCCUGACGCUCAGGCACGAAAGCGUGGGGUGCGAACGGGAUUAGAUACCCCGGUAGUCCACGCCCUAAACGAUGUGCACUAGAUCGUAGCGGCUCUGACGUCGUUGCGGUCGCAGAGAAAUCAUUAAGUGCACCGCCUGGGGAGUACGGUCGCAAGGCUAAAACUCAAAGGAAUUGACGGGGGCUCACACAAGCGGUGGAGCAUGUGGCUUAAUUCGAAGCAACGCGAAGAACCUUAUCCUGGGUUUGACAUGUAUGGAUUAACUCCGUGAAAGCGGAGCCACGCCUUCGGGUGGAACAUACACAGGUGCUGCAUGGCUGUCGUCAGCUCGUGCUGUGAAGUGUCGGGUUAAGUCCCUUAACGAGCGAAACCCCUGCCGCUAGUUGCCAACAGGUAAUGCUGGGGACUCUAGCGGGACUGCCGGCGUCAAGUCGGAGGAAGGUGGGGACGACGUCAAGUCCGCAUGGCCUUUAUGCCCAGGGCUGCACACGUGCUACAAUGGCGUAUACAGAGCGACGCGAGACCGCGAGGUGGAGCAAAUCGCAAAAAGUACGCCCCAGUUCGGAUUGCAGGCUGCAACUCGCCUGCAUGAAGUUGGAAUCGCUAGUAAUCGGAGAUCAGCACGCUCCGGAGAAUACGUUCCCUGAGCCUUGUACACACCGCCCGUCAAGUCAUGGAAGCUGGUAACACCCGAAGUGGUCGUGUUUCAACGGCGCCAACGGCGA